UACGGAGGGGGCUAGCGUUGUUCGGAAUUACUGGGCGUAAAGCGCACGUAGGCGGCUUUGUAAGUUAGAGGUGAAAGCCCGGAGCUCAACUCCGGAAUUGCCUUUAAGACUGCAUCGCUAGAAUUGUGGAGAGGUGAGUGGAAUUCCGAGUGUAGAGGUGAAAUUCGUAGAUAUUCGGAAGAACACCAGUGGCGAAGGCGACUCACUGGCCCGAUACUGACGCUGAGGCACGAAAGCGUGGGGAGCAAACAGG
rnacentral:rRNA from 1 species